ACAUCCCUGAGACACCAUGUGGAAGGUGAAGGUCAGAGUCAACGGAUUUGGUCAUAUUGGGCGCCUGGUCACCAAGGCUGCUUUUAACUCUGGUAAAGUGGAUAUUGUCACCAUCAAUGAUCCCUUCGCUGACCUCAACUACAUGGUCUACAUGUUCCAGUAUGAUUCCAUCCAUGGCAAAUUCCAUGGCACUGUCAAGGCUGAGAACAGGAAGCUUGUCAUCAAUGGAAAUCCCAUCACCAUCUUCCAGGAGCGAGAUCCCUCCAAAAUCAAGCGGGGCGAUGCUGGCGCUGAGUACGUGGUGGAGUCCACUGGUGUCUUCACCACCAUGGAGAAGGCUGGGGCUCACUUGCAGGGGGGAGCCAAAAGGGUCAUCAUCUCUGCCCCCUCUGCUGAUGUCCCCAUGUUCGUGAUGGGCGUAAACCAUGAGAAGUAUGACAACAGCCUCAAGAUCGUCAGCAAUGCCUCCUGCACCACCAACUUCUUAGCGCCCCUGGCCAAGGUCAUCCAUGACAACUUUGGUAUUGUGGAAGGACUCAUGACCACCGUCCACGCCAUCACUGCCACCCAGAAGACCGUGGAUGGUCCCUCCGGGAAACUGUGAUGUGAUGGCCAUGGGGCUCCCCAGUGAGCUCACUGGCAUGGCCUUCCGUGUCCCCACUGCCAACGUGUCAGUGGUGGACCUGACCUGCCGUCUGGAAAAACCUGCCAAAUAUGAUGACAUCAAGAAGGUGGUGAAGCAGGCAUCAGAGGGCCCCCUCAAGAGCAUCCUGGGCUACACUGAGCACCACGUGGUGUCCUCUGACUUCAACAGCAACACCCAUUCUUCCACCUUCAAUGCUGGGGCUGGCAUUGCCCUCAACGACCACUUUGUCAAGCUCAUUUCCUGGUAUGACAAUGAAUUUGGCUAUAGCAACAGGGUGGUGGACCUCAUGUCCCACAUGGCCUCCAAGGAGUAAGACCCCUGGACUACCAGCCCCAGCAAGAGCAUGAGAGGAAGAGAGGCCCUCACUGCUGGGGAGUCCCUGCCACACUGAGUCCCCCACCACACUGAAUUGCCCCUCCUCACAGUUUCCAUGCAGACCCCUUGAAGAGGGAGGGGCCUAGGGAGCCCCACCUUGUCGUGUACCAUCAAUAAAGUUCCCUGUGCUCAA